rnacentral:rRNA from 1 species
GACGAACGCUGGCGGCGUGCUUAACACAUGCAAGUCGAACGGAAAGGCCCUGCUUUUGUGUGGUGCUCGAGUGGCGAACGGGUGUGUAACACGUGAGUAACCUGCCCUUGACUUUGUGAUAACUUCAGGAAACUGGGGCUAAUACCGGAUAGGAGCUCCUGCUGCAUGGUGGGCGUUGGAAAGUUUCGGCGGUUGUGGAUGGACUCGCGGCUUAUCAGCUUGUUGGUGGGGUAGUGGCUUACCAAGGCUUUGACGGGUAGCCGGCCUGAGAGGGUGACCGGGCACAUUGGGACUGAGGUAGGGCCCAGACUGCUACGGGAGGCAGCAGGGGGGAAUAUUGCACAAUGGGGGGAAGCCUGAGGCAGCAACGCCGCGUGCGGGAUGACGGCCUUCGGGUUGUAAACCGCUUUCGCCUGUGACGAAGCGUGAGUGACGGUAAUGGGUAAAGAAGCACCGGCUAACUACGUG